AUUGAACGCUGGCGGCAGGCCUAACACAUGCAAGUCGAACGAGUGGCGGACGGGUGAGUAAUAUCUGGGAAACUGCCUGAUGGAGGGGGAUAACUACUGGCAACGGGAGCUAAUACCUCAUACCAUCCGAUAUGCCCAGAUGGGAUUAGCUUGUGGGUGGGGUAACGGCUCACCAAGGCGACGAUCCCUAGCUGGUCUGAGAGGAUGACCAGCCACACUGGAACGGAGACACGGUCCAGACUCCUACGGGAGGCAGCAGUGGGGAAUAUUGCACAAUGGGCGAAAGCCUGAUGCAGCCAUGCCGCGUGUAUGAAGAAGGCCUUCGGGUUGUAAAGUACUUUAAGCGGGGAGGCGUUACCAGCAGAAGAAGCACCGGCUAACUCCGUGCCAGCAGCCGCGGUAAUUC
rnacentral:rRNA from 1 species